rnacentral:tRNA from 1 species
GGAUAAUCCAGAAAAACAACGGCCAGAAGAACACUGGCAGUGUAGAGGUCAGGGGUUCGAUCCCCCUCGGCUCCACCA